rnacentral:sRNA from 1 species
CUUAUAUCUUUUAUUGUUUCUUUUAUUAAAAUACGCUUUCAGAUUGAAGGAUACAAGGACCUCUACGACUUUAACAAAGUCAGCCAAAUCUACUGCGCCCAAGGACAACAAAUUAAUAUUGUUAGAUGACCGCAUAUUGUUUUAAUGCAGAUCAAUGCAGCUGGAAAAUACCCCAAUCCAUUUUGAUUCUGCAAAUCAGCUGCACACAAGGACAACGAAUGUGUAGAUAUAUUCUUAGAUGACCGCAAAAAGUUUAGUUGCAGAUCGAUGCAGCUGAUUGAAGGAUUUAUGGACUCCAAUGGAUUCUAAGGACCUCUACAGCUCCAACAAGGAUAUCCCGACAAGGA